rnacentral:rRNA from 1 species
CACCCCCACCAAGCAGGCUGCCUCUCUGCUGCGAACAGGCGGAUUAACCAGAGGCCCGGCACAAACACUUGGCGCAGCAGACCAGCCCGGGCAGCCAUGGCCACCUGCCACUGCUCGGAGCCGGCGCAAUGCCUCCACCGGACCCUGCUCGCGCCGGACAGGGCGUACCCCAGGCUGCAGGACCGCAAGAGGACCAAGGUGCCCGCCGGCGACGGCCUUCUGGCCGAGGUGGCCUCCAUCCUCUGCCUCACGGCGCCGAUUGUCAGCGCGGGGAUCCUCCUCUACCUGCGCUCCCUCGUGUCGAUGGUGUUUCUAGGCCGCCUCGGCCAGCUCCCGCUCGCCGGCGGCUCCCUCGCGCUCGGCUUCGCCAACAUCACCGGCUACUCCGUGCUCUCCGGCCUCGCCGGUGGCAUGGACCCCGUCUGCGGCCAGGCCUUCGGCGCCGGCCGGACGGACCUCCUCCGCGCGGCGCUCCGCCGCACCGUCGUGCUGCUCCUCCUCGCGUCCGUCCCCAUCAGCCUGCUCUGGGUCGCCAUGCACCGCGUCCUCGUCGCCACGGGCCAGGACCCGGACAUCGCCUCCACGGCGUACGCCUACAUCCUCUGCUCCCUCCCCGACCUCGCUGUGCAGUCAUUCCUCCACCCGCUCCGCAUUUACCUCCGCGCGCAGUCCGUCACGCUCCCACUCACCUACGCGGCUGCGGGAGCCGUGCUCCUCCACGUGCCCAUCAACUUCGUCCUCGUGGACGUGCUCGGUCUCGGCAUCCGCGGCGUCGCGCUCGGCGCCGUCUGCACCAACCUGAAUUUCCUGCUGUUCAUCGUGGCGUACGUGUGCUUCUUCGGAAUGUACGGCCGCGACGAGGGCGAGACGAAAGCGUCCGUGGCGGCGGCCGAGGAGGAGGGCGCCAAGGAGUGGUGGACCUUGGUGAGGUUGUCCGUGCACAGCUGCAUGUCGGUCUGCUUGGAGUGGUGGUGGUACGAGAUCAUGGUGCUCCUCUGCGGCGUGCUCGCCGACCCAAAGGCGGCGGUGGCGGCCAUGGGGGUGCUGAUCCAGACCACAUCGCUAAUAUACAUCUUCCCGCACUCCCUCGGCUGCGCGGUGUCCACGCGCGUCGGCCACGAGCUCGGCGCCCGCCGGCCAGAGCGUGCGCGCCUCGUGGCGCGCGUCGGGCUCGGUCUGGGCGCGGUGCUAGGCCUCGUGGCAUGCGCAUUCGCGGUGUCCGUGCGGGGCGUGUGGGCGCGGAUGUUCACCGCGGACGAUGCCAUCCUGCGGCUCACGGGCGCGGCGCUGCCGCUGCUGGGCUUGGCCGAGCUGGGCAAUUGCCCGCAGACGACAGGGUGCGGCGUGCUGCGCGGCAGCGCGCGCCCCGAGAAGGCGGCGAGGAUCAACGUCUCGGCGUUCUACGGCGUGGGCAUGCCCGUGGCGCUGCUGCUGGCAUUCCGGCCAGGGCGGCUCGACUUCCGCGGGAUGUGGGGCGGCAUGCUCGCUGCGCAGCUCGUGUGCGCCGCGCUGAUGCUGCGCGCCGUGGUGGCGACGGACUGGGAGGAGCAGACGGAGCGCGCGCGCGAGCUCACCGGCGGCAAUGCCGGAGAUGUUGUGGACGGUGGCAAGAGAAAGCAUGCAGAAGCGGCCAAAGCAGAUGCCGACAACUCAUCGCUCGUGCUGGCCGACUGUGUGUAG